AUGACUUCUGUGUACCGUCUUCAUGGUUUGCCUGAGGUGAUCAUCUCUGAUCGCGACCGUAUCUUCACCAGCAACUUUUGGCAAGCUCUCUUCAAACUCUCUGACACAGUGCUGCACAUGAGCUCCGCCUAUCAUCCACAUACGGACGGCCAAACUGAGCGGCUGAACCAGUGUUUGGAAACAUAUCUUCGCUGCAUAGUGCAUGCUUGUCCUAAGAAAUGGUUUGAGUGGCUCCACCUGGCUGAGUACUGGUAUAAUACUACAUAUCACUCGGCGUUGGACAAGACACCGUUCGAAGUGCUCUAUGGACAUGUACCUCAUCAUCUUGGAAUUGUACCAAGCACCACUAGUUCUGUGGCUGAUUUGGAUGCGUGGCUUCAAGAGCGCAGUGAGAUGUUGCAGCUCCUCCAUCAACAAUUGCUUCGUGCCCAGCAAAGGAUGAAGUCGCAAGCAGACAAGCAUCGCUCUGAAUGA
rnacentral:rRNA from 1 species